GGAUUAGAUACCCUGGUAGUCCACGCCGUAAACGUUGGGUGCUCGUCGUAGCGGGUAUUGACCCCUGCUGUGACCAAGCUAACGCAAGAAGCACCCCGCCUGGGAAGUACGGUCGCAAGACUAAAACUCAAAGAAAUUGACGGGGGCCCGCACAAGCGGUGGAGCAUGUGGUUUAAUUCGAAGCAACGCGCAGAACCUUACCUGGAUUUGACAUCUACGGAAUCUCUUCGAAAGUUGAGAGUGCCUUCGGGAACCGUAAGACAGGUGCUGCAUGGCUGUCGUCAGCUCGUGCCG
rnacentral:rRNA from 1 species